rnacentral:rRNA from 1 species
AGGACGAACGCUGGCGGCGCGCCUAACACAUGCAAGUCGAGCGAUAACCAGGGCUUGCCCUGGGGACAGCGGCGAACGGGUGCGUAACACGUGAGCAACCUGCCCCAAAGACCGGGACAACCCGAGGAAACUCGGACUAAUACCGGAUGCCCUCACCGGGCCGCAUGGUCUGGUGAGGAAAUGGAUUCCGCUUUGGGAUGGGCUCGCGGUCUAUCAGCUUGUUGGUGGGGUAACGGCCUACCAAGGCGACGACGGAUAGCUGGUCUGAGAGGACGAUCAGCCACACUGGGACUGAGACACGGCCCAGACUCCUACGGGAGGCAGCAGUGGGGAAUCUUGCGCAAUGGGGGAAACCCUGACGCAGCGACGCCGCGUGCGGGAUGAAGGCCUUCGGGUUGUAAACCGCUUUCAGCAGGGACGAAAUUGACGGUACCUGCAGAAGAAGGCCGGCCAACUACGUGCCAGCAGCCGC